rnacentral:rRNA from 1 species
CCUACGGGAGGCUGCAGUAGGGAAUAUUGCUCAAUGGGGGAAACUCUGAAGCAGCAACGCCGCGUGGAGGAUGAAGGUUUUCGGAUUGUAAACUCCUUUUGUUAGAGAAGAUAAUGACGGUGUUUGCAAAGGAAGCACCGGCUAACUCCGUGCCAGCAGCCGCGGUACUACGGAGGGUGCGAGCGUUAAUCGGAAUGACUGGGCGUAAAGCGCGCGUAGGCGGUAUGUCAAGUCGAGGGUGAAAUCCCCGCGCUCAACCUGGGCACUGCCUUUGAAACUGGCAAACUGGAGUGUGUGAGAGGCUAGUGGAAUUCCAGGUGUAGGAGUGAAAUCCGUAGAUAUCUGGAGGAACAUCAGUGGCGAAGGCGACUAUCUGGCACAUAACUGACGCUGAGGAGCGAAAGCGUGGGUAGCAAACAGGAUUAGAUACCCUUGUAGUC